rnacentral:misc_RNA from 1 species
GUAAAUACUGGGGUAAAGAAGGGGUGUAUUAUGAGAGGCAGCGACCAUGAGGAGGGUGUGAGGGAGGUGUUGAGGCGGGCAGGUGGGGCCCAGCUCCUCACUCUCCUCCUCGCCUUCACUCCAGUAACAUCGUCUGGCUCAAGAUGCUGUAUUCUACGUUAACCGUGGUCUUCUACGUGGCUGGUGUGACCUGCCAAUAUCUACCCUUGCAGGCUCCAGCUCUACGUCAGGACUUCGGUACAUCCGCUGCUUUUAGCCACAAUAUUCCCAGGGACACUGGUCGCCCACGUCCUCUGUUAAGCGCAACAAUCGGGAACCAGCAGAGUAGCGCUCAAACAAGCGCAGCUAAUGACGCCUUUAUCCUCCAGGCCCCUGGCAGCGGCCUCGUGCCUGACGCAGGCCAGCACAGAGGAAGUCUUCCUGCUGGGAGUUCCUUUCCUCAAGACUUUCGCAGUGAUAUAGGUCCUCUUGUCGGCCAGGGUGUCCUCGGUGGUCCAGGUCCUCUUGUUGGCCAGGGUGUCCUCGGUGGUCCGGGUCCUCUUGUUGGCCAGGGUGUCCUUGGUGGUCCGGGUCCUCUUGUUGGCCAGGGUGUCCUCGGUGGUCCGGGUCCUCUUGUCGGCCACGGUGUCCUCGGCGGUCCGGGUCCUCUUGUCGGCAGUGGUCCAGCUACCAUAUUCAGCGGUGGCAGGUUGGCCCAGGUGAACGUGCCUCUGGUAGCAGUAGGCAACACUGGAUCUUCUGGAAGUGUUGUCAGACCUGUUGGCCUCCCUCAGGUCAGGAGGGUGGACGAUGUCUUCCACCCCACUGUCACCCAAGUUGUCACCAUCGACCGUUGCGUUACUGUCACCGACCAAGCGUUCAACAGCGUGGCGGUAACCCUAACUUCCUUCAGUGUGCAGACUGUCACCGUCGGAACACGCUCGGUGCUACAGACGCCUGUUGAUGACCGGGUCGCUCUCCAGACGUCUGUGUAUGUCCGGCCAACGUCAGUAACGUUAACGGAAGUGAAGUCUGACUUCAGGAUAGUGACCGAGACGUCGCUAAGCUACGUGACCCUCGGCCACACGUCAUACGUUAUCAACCAGUACACCUACACCACCACGGCCACCCAGGUGUUGACGUACACGGCGACGGUGGUACACACGAAUAUUAACACGAAGAGCACUGCCUUCACCAACUACCGGACAGUGACGGACACUGUGUACGUUAACAGCGGCUACGGCUACCGUCCUCGAUAAAUGCAGUUCCUAAGGUCUUUAUUAAUGACCUUGGUGUUCCACGGGCUGCUAAGACUUGACAGUUUCUGCAGGCUCCUGGUCUUCAGAACUUGGAUGUGUCGGUUGCUCUUGGCAACAGUUUUCAGAGAUGCGGGUCGCCCACUACCUGAAUUAAACACUACACGCUGUAGUAGCGACGCCUGAAAGGUCCUGGCAGUGGCCCGACGCUUAAGCUCUGGGCAGCGCCGAUGAAACAUUGUUCCUGGAAGUUUCUUACCCCCAAGGCUUUCGCGGUGAAUUAGCACCUGGUGCAUCCACUGGCCAGGGUGUUCUUGGUGGUCCAGGUCCUGACCAAGUAUUCAGUGGUCCAGAUACUAUAAUGGACUGUGGCAGGUUGGGCCAUGGGACCAUCCCGUGGGUAGCACUGGACCUGCUGGACCUGUCAGACCUGUUGGCCUCUCAUGUCUGGAGGUGGACGAUGUCUUUCAACUCCCCAAUGUCGUCCAAGUCGUCAUCGACAGUUGAAUCACUGUCACCGCCCAGACCUUCAACAGCGUGACAGUCAUCCUAAUAUCCUUCCGAGAGCAGACUGUCACCGUUGGCACACGCUCGGUGCUACAGGCUCCCAUUGAUGACCGGAUCGUUCUAUGUAAGUCUUUGUCCGGCCCUCAUCCCUGACGUUAACUGAAGUAAAGUCUGACUUCAGGAUCGUGACAGACGUCACUAAGCUGUGACCUUCGGCCACACGUCAUUAGCCAGUACACCUACACCACCACCACGGCCACCCAGGUGUAAGUACCAAACACUUGUGCUUGGGUGAUGUAAUUUACUGUUACUUCUGUGUUAAUGGUUAUUGAAGUGUACAGCUAUGGUGGUACUCAGUAAUAUUAACACCCAUAGAACCACCUUCACAAACUACCGCAGUGGUAUGUUAACAGCAGUUACCGGCUUAAGUACAGACAGGCAUUAGU